rnacentral:rRNA from 1 species
CAGCCGCCGCGGGAAUACGUAGGUGGCAAGCGUUGACCGGAAUUAUUGGGCGUAAAGGGCUCGCAGGCGGUUUCUUAAGUCUGAUGUGAAAGCCCCCGGCUCAACCGGGGAGGGUCAUUGGAAACUGGGAAACUUGAGUGCAGAAGAGGAGAGUGGAAUUCCACGUGUAGCGGUGAAAUGCGUAGAGAUGUGGAGGAACACCAGUGGCGAAGGCGACUCUCUGGUCUGUAACUGACGCUGAGGAGCGAAAGCGUGGGGAGCGAACAGGAUUAGAUACCCCGGUAGUCCCUGUCUCUUAACA